AGUAUGAAUGUUCUACCCUGAGCAAGUGCUUGAGUCAUUGUUUCCUGGCGGACCUUUUAAGCGACGGACACAUUGAUCCAGACAAGCAGCAACAAUGGUAGAAAUCCCAGCUCUAUAACUCACCGCAGAAGGAUGUUGUGGCCAGUCGACUACGCUCAAGAGGUGGGGCCCAUUUUGACCACAUUCCAUGACAUGCUGGGAUGCGAACAAACAUGACACAGCCAUAAUGCACUCUUGCUGCAGACGGAAUGAACAUAUUCAGCACUGACGUUAAGAAAAUGGCAGCUCCGAAAACCCUGAAGAAAAAAAGUCAUUUUGUGAGAAAUCAUCAAGCAGAGGUUUAUAUAUAUUGUAAAUAAUCAAAUGUAGAUACUUUUUCUUAUGCUUUCUGAUCUCUCUCUCUAUGUCCACUACUUGCUGUACA